rnacentral:rRNA from 1 species
CGCGGGAUUGGACGGGGUGCAGCAGGCGCGAAAACUCUGCAAUAGGCGAAAGCUUGACAGGGUUACUCUGAGUGAUUUCCGUUAAGGAUAUCUUUUGGCAUCUCUAAAAAUGAUGCAGAAUAAGGGGUGGGCAAGUCUGGUGUCAGCCGCCGCGGUAAUACCAGCACCCCGAGUGGUCGGGACGAUUAUUGGGCCUAAAGCAUCCGUAGCCGGUUCUGCAAGUCCUCCGUUAAAUCCACCUGCUCAACAGAUGGGCUGCGGAGGAUACUAUAGAGCUAGGAGGCGGGAGAGGCAAGCGGUACUCAGUGGGUAGGGGUAAAAUCCUUUGAUCCAUUGAAGACCACCAGUGGCGAAGGCGGCUUGCCAGAACGCGCUCGACGGUGAGGGAUGAAAGCUGGGGGAGCAAACCGGAUUAGAUACCCGGGUAGUCCCAGCUGUAAACGAUGCAGACUCGGUGAUGAAUAGGCCUAGAGCUUAUUCAGUGCCGCAGGGAAGCCGUUAAGUCUGCCGCCUGGGGAGUACGGUCGCAAGACUGAAACUUAAAGGAAUUGGCGGGGGAGCACCACAAGGGGUGGAGCCUGCGGUUCAAUUGGAGUCAACGCCGGAAAUCUUACCGGGGGCGACAGCAGUGUGAAGGUCAAGCUGAAGACUUUACCAGACAAGCUGAGAGGAGGUGCAUGGCCGUCGCCAGCUCGUGCCGUGAGGUGUCCUGUUAAGUCAGGUAACGAGCGAGAUCCCUGCCUCUAGUUGCUACUAAUGUUCUUCGGAGUAUUAGGGCUAAUUAGAGGGACCGCCGCCGCUGAGGCGGAGGAAGGAGGGGGCUACGGCAGGUCAGUAUGCCCCGAAACCCUCGGGCCACACGCGGGCUGCAAUGGUAAGGACAAUAAGUUCCAAUCCCGAAAGGAGGAGGCAAUCUUCAAACCUUACCCCAGUUAUGAUUGAGGGCUGAAACUCGCCCUCAUGAAUAUGGAAUCCCUAGUAACCGCGUGUCACUAUCGCGCGGUGAAUACGUCCCUGCUCCUUGCACGAAGUCACCGAAUCACUAGU